rnacentral:rRNA from 1 species
UACAGAGGUGGCAAGCGUUGUUCGGAAUUACUGGGCGUAAAGGGCGCGUAGGCGGUCUUCGCAAGUCCCGUGUGAAAUCCCUCGGCUCAACUGAGGAAUGGCACGGGAAACUGCUUGGCUUGAGUUCGGGAGAGGGAAGCGGAAUUCCAGGUGUAGCGGUGAAAUGCGUAGAUAUCUGGAGGAAUACCGGUGGCGAAGGCGGCAUCCUGGACCGGCAUUGACGCUGAGGAGCGAAAGCUAGGGGAGCAAACGGG